AUUCUGAGGGGGUGGGAGCUGAUGAUGAUGAUGAGGAUGAUGAUGAGGCGACCGGUUCUGAGGCCGGUAGUGAGGAGGAGUCUUGAGCCCUUUGUGGGUUAAGUUUUUGUUUUUGUAUUUCAGUUUUUAUUAUGGCAUUUUUAUUUGUACUUUUGAAUUUUGUAUUUUGACCAUGGGUUGUACUAUUGGGGUGUUUUGUCCCCCACGAACAAAAUUUUAUUUUUCAGUUAAUGUUAUUUAUGUUUGUUGUUAAUUUUGUGUGUUUAAUAAAUUUUUGGUUGAAUGAGUGGCAAACCCUUCUAGAUUGGUUGCUCCUCAAGAAGUACCCAAUGAAGGUGCAUCCGAGCUUGGAUGGCAAUGAUAAGAAUAACAAGUGAAUGAAGCUAAGGUACAUGGUUACCGUCGGCUAGAAUUUUAGAAUGCAUUAGGAACUUUACUCUUUUUGGUAAAUUGAAUAUUGUCUUUGUGCAACAUAAUUGAAUGAAUGUUUCAUCUAGAACCUAAAACCACAAAGUGUGAGGAAACCUCCAUUGUUCACUUAAAUGCUGGAUUCUAAUAAGUUUUGUUGAUUCAUGUGAUUCAUUAUUUGUCUGUUAUUAUUGUGAAAUUGUGGAAGCAAUUAGAAAUGAUCAAGGCACUUGUUUUCUUUCGAGCACAACUACAUCCAAAAACAACUUACCUGUGAGCAGAGAGAGUAUUUGUUAACCCCUUUGAGCCUAAACAGUUGAAUCUCGGCUUGAAAUAAAGCGAGAUCUCAAAAAUCUUUUUUUUUAAACCCGGAAAAUAUUGAUUAUUGUUCUUUUGCCGUAAAAAGGUAAGAGCAUUCACUUAGGGUGUGGAAGAAAUAAGUUGGGGAGAACGAAAAAGAAUUGGUAAGCACCACAACUCUUGAAAAA
rnacentral:lncRNA from 1 species